GGCUCAUGAUAAGAUGUUGCAGAAAAGGGAGCAUUCAGGGUUUGGAAGAAACAGAAGCUGCUUCUUGCCCCUGCCCCUAUGCAGUGGUUUAACUGCUGCCCCUGUGUUUUCACCGCAGAGCGUCCACACCAUCCACACAUUCCCGCCGGGACGGCCCGAGGGGGCCCGGGCUCUGCCCGCUGCUACCGACACACGGAGUAGGGGGCGCUGUGGAGUCUGCGCCCUAAACCGCCUUUCGGCCGGUUCCCUGGUUCUGAAGCUCUGCUGCACCCUCCUUUCCAGCGUUACAGGCCUCAGCCCUGACUCGGGCUCUGCGGUGGCCUCAGGGCCUGCUCACCUUUCCAGGCUGUUGGCCUGGUAGUCGGCGUUGUUGGGUCUGCUAAGUUAAUGACGGCUCAUCCGUCCACAUUCCAGCUUCCUUUUUCUUGUUGUUGGGUUUUAUUUUGCUUUGCAUUUUUGCUGCUGUUUCUUCUCCCAUUCACUUGGUCCUUCUGGGUUUAUACCUUUUUAAAAAACCUCUUCAUAUCCAAAAUAAAAAAAAUAAAAAUCCCU
rnacentral:lncRNA from 1 species